rnacentral:rRNA from 1 species
UACGGAGGAUGCAAGCGUUAUCCGGAUUUAUUGGGUUUAAAGGGUGCGCAGGUUGUUUGAUAAGUCAGUGGUGAAAGUCUGUCGCUUAACGGUAGGAUUGCCAUUGAUACUGCUGGACUUGAAUAUGGAUGAGGUAGGCGGAAUGUGUAGUGUAGCGGUGAAAUGCAUAGAUAUUACACAGAACACCGAUUGCGAAGGCAGCUUACUAAUCCAUCAUUGACGCUGAGGCACGAGAGCGUGGGGAU